UUCCUUUCCUUUCCUUUCCUUUCCUUGCUUUCUCUUCGACAUGAUCGACAGCAAAACGGAGAAACUAAAAACCCCAGAUCUCCUCCACCUCUUUCACCUGAUCUCUUUCCUGUCUUUCAUUUGAUCUCAUUAUAUCUCUCAGCUGAUCCUUGUUAUUUUUUGAAGCACUUUUGGCGAUUUCGGUUUGUAAAAAGAAAGAUCUUAUUGAGGAUUUGGUUUCAUCUACUGUAGGAGAUGGCGCUUGCUGAUGAAAUGCAGUGGAAACAGUUAGUCAAGGAAAACUUAAUCAUGUUAUCUACUUGGGAUGAUACUUCUACAAGGAAUUGGUAUAUCUUAUCUAAGGUAGAUAACGAUAGUUAAGUUUUAGAAACCGUUCAACCUUGCAAUCAAAAACUUCAGGGUAUAUCGACAACUUUUAAUUCCGGUGGAGUACUACAUUGUCACGGCGGAAGACAAGAAGAUGGUGUAGUAAGUAGUCAAAACUUUUCUUUUAAUCUGAGAACAAAAAAGUGGUCCAAGUCAGCUGACCUCCAAACACCAAGAUGCGGUCAUGUUUCAUUCUCUACAACAACUGCAGAUUGUUUUAUUAUGGGAGGCAGUAGUUCAAAUCUGUUAGAGCAUUUUACGUUGAUUGGUCAAUCAAUUCUUAGCCAAUCACCAAACAAUAAGUAUGCUGGUUUGACUGAUUUAAGGGUAUCUUCGUUUGCGUGUACCAAGUCCAGGAGAUCUUCAGUUGAGAUUUAUAUAGGGAUGGUAGUCAUGUUACCUACGAUAUAUAACAAACAGAAAAUGGAGUAAAACUUUUAAAUAUCCAGAGAUGUUCGCUAAAUCUCCAGAGAACGUUGAGUCUCCUAUAAUUUCAGGUCAAAUGAUUUCUGUGUUGAACAAUCAUUUUUGCUUCUUCAAUCUUUCUAAGAAUGCGUAGUCAGAAGGAAUUGAGCUUCCAUUUCCUCUAAAAGCCAACGAGAAAAUCCAUCUCUUGGUUUUUGGGAAAGACCGUCUCUUAGUGUUGUAUGUUUUCACCAAGGGGAAACUAAAUUGUUAUAUGUAUCAAGUUGGGAAGACUGUAUUAACAUUCAUCACUGGUGGAAUAUUUACCUUAUCAAAAAAAAAAGAUGGCAAACCAUAUGACGUUUUGGAGAGAUUGCACUUAUCAACUGCGUCGUCUUUAUUUGUUGCAAAGACGCAACAACAAUUAGAUGAAAUAGCGAAAAUCAAGUAUUAGACCGUCUAAAGUUCGGAGCUGUGGUCUUCUGAUUGGAAACAAAGUACCGCACAGUAUUAGACCGUCUAAAGUUCUUCAGAACUACAUUCCAAGCGAUGGAGAAAGGCCGUGCAUGCAUGAAGGUUGGAGUAUACCUUUAAAGCCUGUCCUUGAAGCUGGUGGCUUGUGGAAACAAGACAAGCUUAUCAAUACAUAUUUCAUGACUGAGAAGCUUGCUACAAUCACAUUCGAGAUACUAAAGACACUUGUUGGAUACAAGAAACAAGGUCGUUGGAUAAGGGGUAUAAACAAAGAAAAUGUGGUUUUCCAGAAAGAUGAUACUUGUUUCAGGUAUCCACAGUUCAUGGAUUGUCUGGUUCUAACAGUGAAGAGUCUAAAGAUACACGGUUCAGAUCUCUUGCAACAUUGAUUCGAUCUACAAUUAACUUUAGCGAAAAAAUGUUGGAUCCACAUGUCAGAAGUUUAGUCAAUUGUCUUGAUGAAAAGUGUUCUUAUAGCAUCACUAUGCUCCAGCGGAAGAGGUGGGAGUACCUGCUUGGCCCUUUUCAUGACUUAUGAUGAAAGGGCUACCUAUUUGAUCAGCAUGAGAGAUAAAGUGCGUGGGCAAAAAGCUUCUGAACUUCAAGUACAAAUGAACGAGCUCGUGGUUUCAAGUGUCCCUUAUAAGAGUUGGGAUAGAUUGAUAAAUCAGAGUGGCCUUCUAGAUUUUAUGAAUGACCGAGUCUUAAAGUUGAAAGAAAAACCUCUUAACUAUAACACGACAAAAGUGUCAGGAAUUAUUACAUUUCUUAGAGACACGUAUGAGCAUGUCAACGACAACUAUACAAUGGAUGCUGCUAAUGGGCGUUUCUAUACUCCAGAAGACUUUGCGAAAUGCACUGACGUUGUCGCUCCAGGGUUACUUCCUAGUUACUUUGAACAUCAUGGUAGCUUGAGGGCACGCUACGAGAAGUAGUUCGGGUGAAGGAACUCCAGGGAAAUAAGAAGCAGAUCUUUGACGGCUCAAGACUAAGGACGAGAUGGAGAUGCUGGGAAUGGUGGAGGCACUUGUUUGGGGGCUUUCUAUUGGAAGUCAAGAUAGGAUAUCAUUAUAGAAUCCAGAUGCAAUCAUUAACGAAGUCAAUGGAGAGAAGAACCAAAUGGGAUGUCCAGACCAUAAAACUACACCUUUUGAAUUAUGAUAGCUUUAAGAACCAAAUCAGGCGGCUUU